rnacentral:rRNA from 1 species
UACAGAGGGGGCAAGCGUUGUUCGGAAUUACUGGGCGUAAAGGGCGCGUAGGCGGCCUGCUAAGUCGAACGUGAAAUCCCCGGGCUCAACCCGGGAACUGCGUCCGAUACUGGCAGGCUUGAAUUCGGGAGAGGGAUGUGGAAUUCCAGGUGUAGCGGUGAAAUGCGUAGAUAUCUGGAGGAACACCGGUGGCGAAGGCGGCAUCCUGGACCAACACUGACACUGAGGAGCGAAAGCCAGGGGAGCAAACGGG